rnacentral:rRNA from 1 species
ACAUUUUAGAGGAAGGAGAAGUCGUAACAAGGUUUCUGUAGGUGAGCCUGCAGAAGGCUCAUUUGCACAUGUGUAGCCAACUGCAUGCUAAUGAUAUUGUGGGCAACUGUAAGCAUGUAUUGCAAUGGACUUGCACUUGCCCUGGGCAGCAUGAUUUGUUUUUCAAGCAUGUGUGCUGUAGCGUGUGAUGUGUUGUGUAAACUGUUUGCAUUUCUCUAGUUGCUGCAACACUUAUGUUUUGCAAGGAAUGUCUUAGCUCAAUAAAUGAUGAAGAAUGCAGCCACAUGCAAUAUGCAUUGCGAAUUGCAGAAUUCCGUGAGCUAACAGAUGUUUGAAUGUUACUUGUACCUUUGGGACAUUCUUGAAGGUUUGCUUGGUUUAAUGCAAAGUAGCUUUCAUAUACAGUUAAUGCUGAUUAGCAUUGUUGUGAACAAUAAAGGUCAAUGUUUUGCAUUGAACCUGGAUGUCAUACAGUUGUUUACAACCUAAACAUGGUUUCGUGGGGCAGACCUGUUUCGUCAUUUGAUGGUUGAUAUUUGUAAAUGUGCACAAC